rnacentral:rRNA from 1 species
GAUUAACGCUGGCGGCAUGCCUAAUACAUGCAAGUCGAACGGAAGCAGCAAUGCUUUAGUGGCGAACGGGUGAGUAACACGUAGGGAACCUACCUAUACGACGAGGAUAACUACUGGAAACGGUAGCUAAAACUGGAUAGGAUCAAUUGAGGCAUCUUGAUUGAUUUAAAGAUCCUUCGGGGAUUACGUAGAGAUGGCCCUGCGGCGCAUUAGCUAGUUGGUGAGGUAACGGCCCACCAAGGCGACGAUGCGUAGCUGAGCUGAGAGGCUAAACAGCCACACUGGGACUGAGACACGGCCCAGACUCCUACGGGAGGCAGCAGUAGGGAAUUUUCGGCAAUGGGGGAAACCCUGACCGAGCAAUGCCGCGUGAACGAUGAAGGUCUUCGGAUUGUAAAGUUCUGUGAUUGGGAAGAAUGGUAUUCUUAGGGAAUGAGGAGUACAUGACGGUACCCGAUUAGAAAGCCCCGGCUAACUAUGUGCCAGCAGCCGCGG